GAUGAACGCUGGCGGCGUGCCUAAUACAUGCAAGUCGAGCGAACGGACGAGAAGCUUGCUUUUCUGAUGUUAGCGGCGGACGUGUGAGUAACACGUGGAUAACCUACCUAUAAGACUGGGAUAACUUCGGGAAACCGGAGCUAAUACCGGAUAAUAUUUUGAACCGCAUGGUUCAAAAGUGAAAGACGGUCUUGCUGUCACUUAUAGAGGGAUCCGCGCUGCAUUAGCUAGUUGGGAAGGUAACGGGUUACCAAGGCAACGAUGCAUAGCCGACCUGAGAGAGUGAUAGGCCACACUGGAACUGAACCACCCUCAAUGCUACUACGGGAGGCCCCAGUAGCGAAUCUUCCGCAGUGGGCGGGAGCCUGACGGAACAGCGCCGCGUGAGUGAUGGAGGUCUUCGGAUCGUAAAACUCUGUUAUUAGGGAGGAACAUAUGUGUAAGUAACUGAACACAUCUUGACGGUAACUAAUCAGAAAGCCACGGCUAACUACGUG
rnacentral:rRNA from 1 species